ensembl:snRNA U6 U6 spliceosomal RNA
AUGCUCGCUUCGGCAGCACACAGACUAAAAUUGGAACCAUACAGAGAAAGUUAGCAUGGCCCCUGUGCAGGGAUGACACGCAAAUUCGUGAAGUGUUCCAUAUUUUU